rnacentral:rRNA from 1 species
UACGUAGGGUGCAAGCGUUGUCCGGAUUUAUUGGGCGUAAAGCGUCCGCAGGCUGUUUGAUAAGUCUAAUGUUAAAUACCGGAGCUCAACUCCGGACAAGCAUUGGAUACUGUCAGGCUAGAGUUUGGUAGAGGUAAGGGGAAUUCCUGGUGUAGCGGUGAAAUGCGUAGAUAUCAGGAGGAACACCGGUGGCGAAAGCGCCUUACUGGACCAUAACUGACGCUCAGGGACGAAAGCUAGGGUAGCGAAAGGG